GAUGAACGCUAGCGGCAAGCUUAACACAUGCAAGUCGAACGGUAACAUUGGUGCUUGCACCGGAUGACGACCGGCGCACGGGUGCGUAACGCGUAUGCAACCUACCUUCUACAGGGGGAUAGCCCAGAGAAAUUUGGAAUAAUACCCCAUACGAUCAUUGAUUGGCAUCGAUCAAUGAGGAAAACUCCGGUGGUAGAAGAUGGGCAUGCGUCCUAUUAGUUAGUUGGUGAGGUAACGGCUCACCAAGACGUCGAUAGGUAGGGGCCCUGAGAGGGGGAUCCCCCACACUGGUACUGAGACACGGACCAGACUCCUACGGGAGGCAGCAGUGAGGAAUAUUGGACAAUGGGGGCAACCCUGAUCCAGCCAUGCCGCGUGCAGGAAGACUGCCCUAUGGGUUGUAAACUGCUUUUAUACAGGAAGAAACUGUGCUACGUGUAGUGCACUGACGGUACUGUAAGAAUAAGGAUCGGCUAACUCCGUGCCAGCCGCCGCCGUAACAC
rnacentral:rRNA from 1 species